AUUGAACGCUGGCGGCAUGCCUUACACAUGCAAGUCGAACGGUAACAGGUCUUCGGAUGCUGACGAGUGGCGAACGGGUGAGUAAUACAUCGGAACGUGCCUAGUAGUGGGGGAUAACUACUCGAAAGAGUGGCUAAUACCGCAUGAGAUCUACGGAUGAAAGCAGGGGAUCGCAAGACCUUGUGCUACUAGAGCGGCCGAUGGCAGAUUAGGUAGUUGGUGGGGUAAAGGCCCACCAAGCCAACGAUCUGUAGCUGGUCUGAGAGGACGACCAGCCACACUGGAACUGAGACACGGUCCAGACUCCUACGGGAGGCAGCAGUGGGGAAUUUUGGACAAUGGGCGAAAGCCUGAUCCAGCCAUUCCGCGUGCAGGAUGAAGGCCCUCGGGUUGUAAACUGCUUUUGUACAGAACGAAAAGGUUUCUACUAAUACUAGGAGCUCAUGACGGUACUGUAAGAAUAAGCACCGGCUAACUACGUGCCAGCCGCCGCAGUAA
rnacentral:rRNA from 1 species